rnacentral:tRNA from 1 species
GCGGGUGUAGUAUAAUGGUAAUAUGCGACCUUCCCAAGGUUGAGUCAGGGGUUCGAUUCCCCUUACCCGCUCCA